rnacentral:rRNA from 1 species
UUUAAGGUCUAACCUGCCCAAUGAGGAUUUAAAUGGCCGCAGUAUUUUGACUGUGCAAAGGUAGCAUAAUUAUUAGUUUUUUAAUUGAAAGCUUGUAUGAAGGGUUGGACGAGAUAAAAUCUGUCUCUAUUUAGAUUAGAAUAGAAUUUAACUUUUAAGUCAAAAGGCUUAAAUAUUUAUAAAAGACGAGAAGACCCUAUAGAUCUUCAUUUAAAUUAGAAUUUAAUAAUUUAGGAUUAUUUUAGUUUAAAUUUUAAUUUAAAUUUUAUUGGGGUAAUAUAAAGAUUAAAUUAAUUCUUUUUAUUUAUAACAUUAAUUUAUGAAUUUAUGAUCCAUUAUUAUUGAUUAAAAGAUUAAGUUACCUUAGGGAUAACAGCGUAAUUUUUUUGGAGAGCUCAUAUCGAUAAAAAAGUUUGCGACCUCGAUGUUGGAUUAAAAAUUAGCUUGGGUGCAGAAGCUCAAGAUUUUGGUCUGUUCGACCAUUAAAUUUUU